UACGUAGGGGGCAAGCGUUGUCCGGAUUCAUUGGGCGUAAAGAGCGUGUAGGCGGCCAGGUAGGUCGGUUGUGAAAACUGGAGGCUCAACCUUCAGAGGUCGACCGAAACCAUCUGGCUAGAGUCCGGGAGAGGAGAGUGGAAUUCCUGGUGUAGCGGUGAAAUGCAUUGAGAUCGGAAAGAACACCAACGGCGAAAGCACUCUGCUGGGCCGACACUGACACUGAGAGACGAAAGCUAGGGGAGCAAAUGGG
rnacentral:rRNA from 1 species